rnacentral:rRNA from 1 species
AUUGAACGCUGGCGGAAUGCUUUACACAUGCAAGUCGAACGGCAGCACGGGGGCAGCCCUGGUGGCGAGUGGCGAACGGGUGAGUAAUACAUCGGAACGUGCCCGGUCGUGGGGGAUAACGUAGCGAAAGUUACGCUAAUACCGCAUACGAUCUGAGGAUGAAAGCGGGGGACCUUCGGGCCUCGCGCGAUCGGAGCGGCCGAUGUCAGAUUAGGUAGUUGGUGGGGUAAAGGCCUACCAAGCCGACGAUCUGUAGCUGGUCUGAGAGGACGACCAGCCACACUGGGACUGAGACACGGCCCAGACUCCUACGGGAGGCAGCAGUGGGGAAUUUUGGACAAUGGGCGCAAGCCUGAUCCAGCCAUUCCGCGUGCAGGACGAAGGCCUUCAGGUUGUAAACUGCUUUUGUACGGAACGAAAAGGCUCUGGCUAAUACCUGGGGCUCAUGACGGUACCGUAAGAAUAAGCACCGGCUAACUACGUG